AUGAAAUUAUGUUGUUUUUAGUGUCAGCACUGGCCUUUGUGGUUUUAUUGCCAGACAGAGACUGCCAGUUUUUAAUUACUUGUAUAAAUUGUGGUUGUUUACAUGUUCAUAAAGGUUUAAUAUGAUGUGAAAUUUAUAUACUUGCCCAUGAUAAUGCAGAAUUAAUAGAUAUAGAUAGCACAAGACCAGAGAGACUUGAGUAGAGGAGGCCCACCUACAUUUGACAAUGUGCCCUGUCC